UCCUGGUUCGCUUAGUUGGAAGAGUGCUCCACUGGAAAUGGAGAGGUCCCUGGUUCGAUACCAGAACCAGGCG
rfam:Ixodes scapularis strain Wikel colony gcontig_1108379510456, whole genome shotgun sequence.